rnacentral:ncRNA from 17 species
CGAUGAAACUCGCUCCGAGCGUCCCGGCCUAACGCGCAUCCGCGCCAAGGCCGGGCCGCCGCGCCGGUACGCCGGCAAGGGUGACGGGGGAAACGCCGUCGCCUCCCUUGCUUGGAAAGGAGCCCGCAUGGGACGUCU